ACGUAGGGGGCAAGCGUUGUCCGGAUUUACUGGGCGUAAAGCGCGCGUAGGCGGAAGCGGCAGUCCGGCCUGAAAGCCCCCGGCUCAACCGGGGAGUGCGGCUGGAAACUCCGUUUCUUGAGGGCGAUAGAGGAGUGUGGAAUUCCUGGUGUAGCGGUGAAAUGCGUAGAUAUCGGAAGGAACAUCAGUGGCGAAAGCGACUUCCUGGACCAGUACCGACGUUCAGGCACGAAAGCGUGGGGAGCAAACAGGA
rnacentral:rRNA from 1 species